rnacentral:tRNA from 1 species
GGCCCCGUAGCUCAGCUGGAUAGAGCGGUUGACUUCUAAUCAAUAGGUCAGAGGUUCGAAUCCUCUCGGGGUCGCCA